GCCUGCGUGAUGGAAAUGGCAGACAUACGAAUCUUGGUAUGGGCACCCAUAGUUGUGCCUAUACCCAGGUUCGUGUCGUUAUGACGUGUGGGUUCGAAUCCCACCGCAGGCA
rnacentral:tRNA from 1 species